UACAGAGGUCCCGAGCGUUGUUCGGAUUCAUUGGCGUAAAGGGUGCGUAGGCGGCGGGGAAAGUCUGAUGUGAAAUCCUGGGGCUCAACCCUGGAACUGCAUUGGAUACUUCCUUGCUAGAGUACUGGAGAGGAAACUGGAAUUUACGGUGUAGCAGUGAAUGCGUAGAGAUCGUAAGGAAGACCAGUGGCGAAGGCGAGUUUCUGGACAGUUACUGACGCUGAGGCACGAAGGCCAGGGGAGCAAACGGG
rnacentral:rRNA from 1 species